rnacentral:tRNA from 1 species
UCUAAAAUGACAGAUAAUAUGUAUAAGAUUUAAGAUCUUACAAUGAGAAUUUAUUCUCUUUUAGAA